AUGAACGGCUGGACGAUAAAAGAACUGUCUGAUUUGUUUGAUUAGAAUUUAACUUUUAUGUGAAAAGGCAUAAAUAAGAUAGGGGGACGAUAAGACCCUGUAAAACUUUACACAUUGUGGUCGGUUCUUAGAGUUAAUUAAUAAGUAUGGGCUUGAGUUAGUUGGGCUGGGGCGGCAAAAAUAUAAAAUUAAAAUUAGCUGUUUGAAAAAAAAUAUACUGAUAAGUAUAUAAUGAACCUUUAGUGUUAAAGAUUGAAAGAUUAAGUUACUUCAGGGAUAACAGCGUG
rnacentral:rRNA from 1 species